rnacentral:rRNA from 2 species
UUGAUCCUGGCUCAGGACGAACGCUGGCGGCGUGCCUAAUACAUGCAAGUCGAGCGGCUUACUUCGGUAAGCGAGCGGCGGAUGGGUGAGUAACACGUGGGGAACCUGCCCCAUAGUCUGGGAUACCACUUGGAAACAGGUGCUAAUACCGGAUAAGAAAGCAUCGCAUGAUAGCUUUUAAAAGGCGGUAAUGUCGCUAUGGGAUGGCCCCGCGGUGCAUUAGCUAGUUGGUAAGGUAAAGGCUUACCAAGGCGAUGAUGCAUAGCCGAGUUGAGAGACUGAUCGGCCACAUUGGGACUGAGACACGGCCCAAACUCCUACGGGAGGCAGCAGUAGGGAAUCUUCCACAAUGGACGCAAGUCUGAUGGAGCAACGCCGCGUGAGUGAAGAAGGUUUUCGGAUCGUAAAGCUCUGUUGUUGGUGAAGAAGGAUAGAGGUGUAAGCCUUUAUUUGACGGUAAUCAACCAGAAAGUCACGGCUAACUACGUGCCAGCAGCCGCGGUAAUACGUAGGUGGCAAGCGUUGUCCGGAUUUAUUGGGCGUAAAGCGAGCGCAGGCGGAAGAAUAAGUCUGAUGUGAAAGCCCUCGGCUUAACCGAGGAACUGCAUCGGAAACUGUUUUUCUUGAGUGCAGAAGAGGAGAGUGGAACUCCAUGUGUAGCGGUGGAAUGCGUAGAUAUAUGGAAGAACACCAGUGGCGAAGGCGGCUCUCUGGUCUGCAACUGACGCUGAGGCUCGAAAGCAUGGGUAGCGAACAGGAUUAGAUACCCUGGUAGUCCAUGCCGUAAACGAUGAGUGCUAAGUGUUGGGAGGUUUCCCCUCUCAGUGCUGCAGCUAACGCAUUAAGCACUCCGCCUGGGGAGUACGACCGCAAGGUUGAAACUCAAAGGAAUUGACGGGGGCCCGCACAAGCGGUGGAGCAUGUGGUUUAAUUCGAAGCAACGCGAAGAACCUUACCAGGUCUUGACAUCUAGUGCCAUUUGUAGAGAUACAAAGUUCCCUUCGGGGACGCUAAGACAGGUGGUGCAUGGCUGUCGUCAGCUCGUGUCGUGAGAUGUUGGGUUAAGUCCCGCAACGAGCGCAACCCUUGUUAUUAGUUGCCAGCAUUAAGUUGGGCACUCUAAUGAGACUGCCGGUGACAAACCGGAGGAAGGUGGGGAUGACGUCAAGUCAUCAUGCCCCUUAUGACCUGGGCUACACACGUGCUACAAUGGCAGUACAACGAGAAGCGAGCCUGCGAAGGCAAGCGGACCUCAUAAAGUAUGUCGUAGUCCGGAUUGGAGUCUGCAACUCGACUCCAUGAAGUCGGAAUCGCUAGUAAUCGUAGAUCAGAAUGCUACGGUGAAUACGUUCCCGGGCCUUGCACUCACCGCC